rnacentral:rRNA from 1 species
UGCCAGACUCCUACGGGAGGCAGCAGUGGGGAAUAUUGCACAAUGGGGGAAACCCUGAUGCAGCGACGCCGCGUGAGCGAUGAAGUAUUUCGGUAUGUAAAGCUCUAUCAGCAGGGAAGAAAAUGACGGUACCUGACUAAGAAGCCCCGGCUAACUACGUGCCAGCAGCCGCGGUAAUACGUAGGGGGCAAGCGUUAUCCGGAUUUACUGGGUGUAAAGGGAGCGUAGACGGCUGUGCAAGCCAGAUGUGAAAGCCCGGGGCUCAACCCCGGGACUGCAUUUGGAACUGUGUAGCUGGAGUGUCGGAGAGGCAGGCGGAAUUCCUAGUGUAGCGGUGAAAUGCGUAGAUAUUAGGAGGAACACCAGUGGCGAAGGCGGCCUGCUGGACGAUGACUGACGUUGAGGCUCGAAAGCGUGGGGAGCAAACAGGAUUAGAUACCCGUGUA